rnacentral:rRNA from 1 species
AGCUUGCUCUUAUGAAGUUAGCGGCGGACGGGUGAGUAACACGUGGGUAACCUGCCCAUAAGACUGGGAUAACUCCGGGAAACCGGGGCUAAUACCGGAUAACAUUUUGAACUGCAUGGUUCGAAAUUGAAAGGCGGCUUCGGCUGUCACUUAUGGAUGGACCCGCGUCGCAUUAUCUAGUUGGUGAGGUAACGGCUCACCAAGGCAACGAUGCGUAACCGACCUGAGAGGGUGAUCGGCCACACUGGGACUGAGACACGGCCCAGACUCCUACGGGAGGCAGCAGUAGGGAAUCUUCCGCAAUGGACGAAAGUCUGACGGAGCAACGCCGCGUGAGUGAUGAAGGCUUUCGGGUCGUAAAACUCUGUUGUUAGGGAAGAACAAGUGCUAGUUGAAUAAGCUGGCACCUUGACGGUACCUAACCAGAAAGCCACGGCUAACUACGUGCCAGCAGCCGCGGUAAUACGUAGGUGGCAAGCGUUAUCCGGAAUUAUUGGGCGUAAAGCGCGCGCAGGUGGUUUCUUAAGUCUGAUGUGAAAGCCCACGGCUCAACCGUGGAGGGUCAUUGGAAACUGGGAGACUUGAGUGCAGAUGAGGAAAGUGGAAUUCCAUGUGUAGCGGUGAAAUGCGUAGAGAUAUGGAGGAACACCAGUGGCGAAUGCGACUUUCUGGUCUGUAACUGACACUGAGGCGCGAAAGCGUGGGGAGCAAACAGGAUUAGAUACCCUGAUAGUCCACGCCGUAAACGAUGA